rnacentral:rRNA from 1 species
CCUUGGAACUGAGACACGGUCCAGACUCCUACGGGAGGCAGCAGUGGGGAAUUUUGGACAAUGGGCGCAAGCCUGAUCCAGCAAUGCCGCGUGAGUGAAGAAGGCCUUCGGGUUGUAAAGCUCUUUUGUCAGGGAAGAAACGGCCGUUUCUAAUACAGAUGGCUAAUGACGGUACCUGAAGAAUAAGCACCGGCUAACUACGUGCCAGCAGCCGCGGUAAUACGUAGGGUGCAAGCGUUAAUCGGAAUUACUGGGCGUAAAGCGUGCGCAGGCGGUUUUGUAAGUCUGUCGUGAAAUCCCCGGGCUCAACCUGGGAAUGGCGAUGGAGACUGCAAGGCUAGAGUUUGGCAGAGGGGGGUAGAAUUCCACGUGUAGCAGUGAAAUGCGUAGAUAUGUGGAGGAACACCGAUGGCGAAGGCAGCCCCCUGGGUCAAAACUGACGCUCAUGCACGAAAGCGUGGGGAGCAAACAGGAUUAGAUACCCUGGUAGUCCACGCCCUAAACGAUGUCUACUAGUUGUCGGGCCUUAAUUGACUUGGUAACGCAGCUAACGCGUGAAGUAGACCGCCUGGGGAGUACGGUCGCAAGAUUAAAACUCAAAGGAAUUGACGGGGACCCGCACAAGCGGUGGAUGAUGUGGAUUAAUUCGAUGCAACGCGAAAAACCUUACCUACCCUUGACAUGGAUGGAAUUCCGGAGAGAUUUGGAAGUGCCCGAAAGGGAACCAUUACACAGGUGCUGCAUGGCUGUCGUCAGCUCGUGUCGUGAGAUGUUGGGUUAAGUCCCGCAACGAGCGCAACCCUUGUCAUUAGUUGCUACGAAAGAGCACUCUAAUGAGACUGCCGGUGACAAACCGGAGGAAGGUGGGGAUGACGUCAAGUCCUCAUGGCCCUUAUGGGUAGGGCUUCACACGUCAUACAAUGGUACAUACAGAGGGCCGCCAACCCGCGAGGGGGAGCUAAUCCCAGAAAGUGUAUCGUAGUCCGGAUUGUAGUCUGCAACUCGACUGCAUGAAGUUGGAAUCGCUAGUAAUCGCGGAUCAGCAUGUCGCGGUGAAUACGUUCCCGGGUCUUGUACAUACCGCCCGUCACACCAUGGGAGCGGGUUUUACCAGAAGUAGGUAGCUUAACCGUAAGGAGGGCGCUUACCACGGUAGGAUUCGUGACUGGGGUGAAGUCGGAACAAGGUAGCCGUAUCGGGUGCGGCUGGAU